rnacentral:lncRNA from 1 species
CAAUCCUAUGAAAACUGUGCAAGGCUGGCAUUGUGAGGAUUCAUUUUUCCAUCAAACAUCACUCUUCUGUACAUGCAGUUAACCUCAACUGGAUUCCCAUAUGACCUACAGUCUAUAGAAUUAUUUCUUUUUCCUACAUUCUCUGUGGUAUGGGCAGGUGUACUUAGUCUCAUUUUGAAAACCCUGCUCAAUAGAGAUGAUGGAUAUGCUUGCUGUGUUUGCCCUUUUUCUUCUUUCUAUCACCUGAUUCCUCUUGUUAAGCCUCUUGGCUGAAGCACAGCCUUUGAGUGUAGAUGUGGGUGGAGAAGCAGCCUGUGCCAGUUCUCACGUGUGUCUUUUAAAUUAUACAGACUGAUUCUGAAGGUGAAGGGAAAGUGUUGGCUGCUGUCCAGCUUGCUGCUGCAAACAGCAACAGGUCGGAUGUGUGCGCUGCUGCAGUGUUACACAGCAAAGGGGUCUUGAAACAAGUGUGGAAAAAAGCGAAAAAGGAAGACAGAGUCUUGCAGCCAGGAAGGAGGGAAGCAAAACAGGAAUACAGUGAUCUUCCCUGGGAUUCUGAGACUGAUUCUGAAGGUCGAAGGAAAGUGUUGGCAGAUGUGCAGCUUCCUGAUGCAGACCAAAACAGAGUGGGUGUGAGCUCUGCUGCAGUGGAGCAUGGCAAAGCUACAGGAGCAGAACAGAGGGAGCAUUACAUCUCCACAUCAGAGAAUAAGCUCAAGGACCUGAAAGAACCUCUUAACAAGAAGGAAUAUUAUGCUGACUCAGGGAAGAAUGCCCAAAAGGAGAAGCUAAUAACAAUUUUGAGGAACAUGCAAGGCACCCUGGUUGAUUCUUUUGAUUCUUCAGCUGCAGCUAUCCCCCAGCUGGAAGAACGCAUUCAACGGCUCCAGAUGCAAAUGGCAAGGCUGGAAACCACAAUCCAGCAACAAGCCAAGACUAUUGAAGUCUUUGAGACGAUCCAGAAAUCUCUUACCUCAGACUCUUCUAUGGACACAGGUCUUUGUCACCGUGAUUUGCCGCACACAAUCAAAAAGUGUUUUGGAGAGAAGUUAGCAAAGUGAGCCAGUCCCUGAGGCUGGGUCACCCUGCAGGUGUUUCCACCAUUUUGGGUGUCUCUUUAUUGCCAUGAGAUUUGUGAAAUUUAGCAAUUUUCUAUCUAGUGAUUACUUACUGUUAUUUUUUGCCUGUUGCUGUUUCACUUGUCAAUAAAUUGUU